CAGUAGCCGCGGUAAUACCAGCACCUCGAGUGGUCAGGAGGUUUAUUGGGCCUAAAGCAUCCGUAGCCGGUUGCAUAAGUUUUCGGUUAAAUCUAUGCGCUUAACGUAUAGGCCGCCGAAAAUACUGUGCAGCUAGGGAGUGGGAGAGGUACACGGUACUCGAUAGGAAGGGGUAAAAUCCUUUGAUCUAUUGAUGACCACCUGUGGCGAAGGCGGUGUACCAGAACACGUUCGACGGUGAGGGAUGAAAGCUGGGGGAGCAAACCGGAUUAGAGACCCCUGUAGUCCCUGUCUCUUAUAC
rnacentral:rRNA from 1 species